GCCAGACUCCUACGGGAGGCAGCAGUGGGGGAUAUUGCACAAUGGGGGGAACCCUGAUGCAGCGACGCCGCGUGGGUGAAGGAGUAUUUCGGUAUGUAAAGCCCUAUCGGCAGGGAAGAAGCAAGACGGUACCUGACUAAGAAGCCCCGGCUAACUACGUGCCAGCAGCCGCGGUAAUACGUAGGGGGCGAGCGUUAUCCGGAUUCACUGGGUGUAAAGGGAGCGUAGACGGCCAAGCAAGCCAGGGGUGAAAGCCCGGGGCCCAACCCCGGGACUGCCCUUGGAACUGCUUGGCUGGAGUGCGGGAGGGGCAGGCGGAAUUCCUGGUGUAGCGGUGAAAUGCGUAGAUAUCAGGAGGAACACCGGCGGCGAAGGCGGCCUGCUGGACCGCUACUGACGUUGAGGCUCGAAAGCGUGGGGAGCAAACAGGAUUAGAUACCCCAGUA
rnacentral:rRNA from 1 species